GCAGACGUGUAGAGCAUAGCGUACAUUCGAGUACGAGGUUUCCGUAGGUUACAGCCUUGCUGAAUUAUUCACCCUUGUCUUUUGCGUACUUCUUGUUUCCUUGGUGGGUUCGCCCACCACUAGGACAAACAUAAACCUUUUGUAAUUGCAAUCAGCGUCAGUAACAAAUUAAUAAUUACAACUUUCAACAACGGAUCUCUUGGUUCUGGCAUCGAUGAAGAACGCAGCGAAAUGCGAUAAGUAGUGUGAAUUGCAGAAUUCAGUGAAUCAUCGAAUCUUUGAACGCACAUUGCGCCCUUUGGUAUUCCAAAGGGCAUGCCUGUUCGAGCGUCAUUUGUACCCUCAAGCUUUGCUUGGUGUUGGGCGUCUUGUCUCUAGCUUUGCUGGAGACUCGCCUUAAAGUAAUUGGCAGCCGGCCUACUGGUUUCGGAGCGCAGCACAAGUCGCACUCUCUAUCAGCAAAGGUCUAGCAUCCAUUAAGCCUUUUUUUCAACUUUUGACCUCGGAUCAGGUAGGGAUACCCGCUGAACUUAAGCAUAUCAAAAGCCGGAAGAAAAAA
rnacentral:rRNA from 1 species